UACGAAGGGGGCUAGCGUUGCUCGGAAUUACUGGGCGUAAAGGGAGCGUAGGCGGACUGUUAAGUUAGAGGUGAAAGCCCAGGGCUCAACCUUGGAAUUGCCUUUGAUACUGGCAGUCUUGAGUACGGAAGAGGUAUGUGGAACUCCGAGUGUAGAGGUGAAAUUCGUAGAUAUUCGGAAGAACACCAGUGGCGAAGGCGGCUCACUGGUCCGGUACUGGACGCUGAUGUGCGAAAGCGUGGGGAGCAAACAGG
rnacentral:rRNA from 1 species